rnacentral:rRNA from 1 species
AGUCGAACGAGUUCUGAUUAUUGAAAGGUGCUUGCAUCUUGAUUUUAAUUUUGAACGAGUGGCGGACGGGUGAGUAACACGUGGGUAACCUGCCCUUAAGUGGGGGAUAACAUUUGGAAACAGAUGCUAAUACCGCAUAAAUCCAAGAACCGCAUGGUUCUUGGCUGAAAGAUGGCGUAAGCUAUCGCUUUUGGAUGGACCCGCGGCGUAUUAGCUAGUUGGUGAGGUAACGGCUCACCAAGGCAAUGAUACGUAGCCGAACUGAGAGGUUGAUCGGCCACAUUGGGACUGAGACACGGCCCAAACUCCUACGGGAGGCAGCAGUAGGGAAUCUUCCACAAUGGACGCAAGUCUGAUGGAGCAACGCCGCGUGAGUGAAGAAGGCUUUCGGGUCGUAAAACUCUGUUGUUGGAGAAGAAUGGUCGGCAGAGUAACUGUUGUCGGCGUGACGGUAUCCAACCAGAAAGCCACGGCUAACUACGUGCCAGCAGCCGCGGUAAUACGUAGGUGGCAAGCGUUAUCCGGAUUUAUUGGGCGUAAAGCGAGCGCAGGCGGUUUUUUAAGUCUGAUGUGAAAGCCCUCGGCUUAACCGAGGAAGUGCAUCGGAAACUGGGAAACUUGAGUGCAGAAGAGGACAGUGGAACUCCAUGUGUAGCGGUGAAAUGCGUAGAUAUAUGGAAGAACACCAGUGGCGAAGGCGGCUGUC